rnacentral:tRNA from 1 species
CCUGGUGGCUUAGAGGGUAAAGCGUUUGCCUGCAAUGCAGGAGACCCAGGUUCGUUUCCUGGGUCAGGA